CGCAAUGAAGCAAAGUAGAAUCUUGUAUUAACUUGUAUCAAUCUUCUUUUUGCAGUACUUUUGCAUGCAGUAAUCUUGUUUGUGCCUUUGGAAGCGAGGAGAUCCAGACUGAAACAAAUGCAGCAAGGAAGAUAUUUACUACAGACAAACAUGUGCACUGCAGUUUUGUUGAGAGAGAUUAAGUCAGGUGCACAUUUGUUUCGGGAAUCUUAUGGGAAGUAGUGAAACUAUGAUUUGGCCCUGGAGGCGUCACCUAACAAUUGUGCUUGCCAGUGCAAUACAACAGUAUGGCUCUUGCUGAGAAUUUCAAUCUGAAGCUAACUGGUAUUGAUGUUGUGCAACAUCGAACGUUCAAAUCUUUAGAAUCAGUGGACAAAGUAGUUUCUUGUACAUACUAGAUCGGAC